UGGUUGAUCCUGCCAGAGGUUACUGCUAUCGGUGUUCGCCUAAGCCAUGCGAGUCAUAUGUUCUUCGUGAACAUGGCGUACUGCUCAGUAACACGUGGAUAACCUGCCCUUGGGACCGGCAUAACCCCGGGAAACUGGGGAUAAUUCCGGAUACCGCAUAUAUGCUGGAAUGCUUUAUGCGUGAAAUGGAUUCGUCUGCCCAAGGAUGGGUCUGCGGCCUAUCAGGUAGUAGUGGGUGUAAUGUACCUACUAGCCAACGACGGGUACGGGUUGUGAGAGCAAGAGCCCGGAGAUGGAUUCUGAGACAUGAAUACCAGGCCCUACGGGGCGCAGCAGGCGCGAAAACUUUACAAUGCGGGAAACCGUGAUAAGGGGACACCGAGUGCCAGCAUCAUAUGCUGGCUGUCCGGGUGUGUAAAAUACACCCGUUAGCAAGGGCCGGGCAAGACCGGUGCCAGCCGCCGCGGUAACACCGGCGGCCCGAGUGGUGAUCGUGAUUAUUGGGUCUAAAGGGUCCGUAGCCGGUUUGGUCAGUCCUCCGGGAAAUCUGAUAGCUCAACUAUUAGGCUUUCGGGUGAUACUGCCAGGCUUGGAACCGGGAGAGGUAAGAGGUACUACAGGGGUAGGAGUGAAAUCUUGUAAUCCCUGUGGGACCACCUGUGGCGAAGGCGUCUUACCAGAACGGGUUCGACGGUGAGGGACGAAAGCUGGGGGCACGAACCGGAUUAGAUACCCGGGUAGUCCCAGCUGUAAACGAUGCGCGUUAGGUGUGUCAGUGACCACGUGUCACUGAGAUGCCGAAGGGAAACCGUGAAACGCGCCGCCUGGGGAGUACGGUCGCAAGGCUGAAACUUAAAGGAAUUGGCGG
rnacentral:rRNA from 1 species